rnacentral:lncRNA from 1 species
CCUGCCUCUUCAGUGUCUGCUUUCAUCCUGUGACUUUUCCAUGACAAGCAUUCUCAAUUAAGCCCUUUAGAAGCAUUUUGCAGAUCAGCAUUAUAGAAGGUGCCCAGAUCUAAGACAGUUUUUUACUGUUAAUUGAAAUUUGACCAUGAAUAAAAUAUGUAACCUCCCUGAGCCCUGGGUUCCAUAUAUGAAAAUGCACACUUAUAUUGCAAUGUUUUAAAUGGUUAAAACAGCCUAACAUGCAGUAGACACUCUAAAUAGCAGUUUUAUUAUCUCUUUACCUGAGGUUGUCAAUUCCAAGGACAAGAUUUGGCAGCAUUCCUGCAACACAAAAAUGUUAUCACUAGGAGUCACUGGCAUGUCAUAGAUCUGGGUUUCCUCCAAGGAGCAUGGCAAGUGCCCUGAGUUGUACUUCUUUCACACCCAUGGAAAAAAGAGCCCAUUAAGGAUAAAUGCAUCAUCUAUGAUCAUAAUUGAAAGUGGUACAGCAACUACUGCAGCCUGGAUUCUCCACCUGUGCCUACUUUUUAUGCGUAACAUUUAACUUUUCUUAUUCACAAAAAUGGCAUAGUUGGAUAUCUUUAUUGCAUACUUUUUGAAAGAAUUUUUGAUGUUAAUUAAGAAUUUCUCUCAGAUCACAAUACAUACCAUCAGAACUGCAUAUUUUUAUUAUGCCCUAAAUAUUUCCUCCUCACCCCU